GAUGAACGCUGGCGGCGUGCCUAAUACAUGCAAGUCGAGCGAACGGACGAGAAGCUUGCUUCUCUGAUGUUAGCGGCGGACGGGUGAGUAACACGUGGAUAACCUACCUAUAAGACUGGGAUAACUUCGGGAAACCGGAGCUAAUACCGGAUAAUAUUUUGAACCGCAUGGUUCAAAAGUGAAAGACGGUCUUGCUGUCACUUAUAGAUGGAUCCGCGCUGCAUUAGCUAGUUGGUAAGGUAACGGCUUACCAAGGCAACGAUGCAUAGCCGACCUGAGAGGGUGAUCGGCCACACUGGAACUGAGACACGGUCCAGACUCCUACGGGAGGCAGCAGUAGGGAAUCUUCCGCAAUGGGCGAAAGCCUAACGUAGCAACGCCGCGUGAGUGAUGAAGGUCUUCGGAUCGUAAAACUCUGUUAUUAGGGAAGAACAUAUGUGUAAGUAACUGUGCACAUCUUGACGGUACCUAAUCAGAAAGCCACGGCUAACUACGUG
rnacentral:rRNA from 1 species